GGUGUUCAUAAGACUGUAGUCUUUUUUAUUGUAGGAAUGGUUUCAUUUUCCUUUGAUGAAGUAGAAUUACGUUCACGGUAUGAAACUGUGAGCUUUUCAGGUAAGAACUAAUGGCUCUUGUUUUGAGUACUGUAUUCAGCUCUGGAUCCCCCAGCACAAGAAGGACAGGGACAGCUAAGGGGUUGGAAUUAGAUGAUCUUUAAGGUCCCUUCUAAACCAAACCGUUCUAUGAUUCUAUGGUUCUAUGGUUCUAUGAUUUUAUGGUUCUAUAAUUCUAUGACGGUGGUAUUACCCUAAUGGCAACAUGCUCCUCAUUAACUUACUUGAUAUUUCAGCAGCAUACACUUUUUUUCUGGGGCCAAGGGAAGACCAAACGAACUCAGUUUGUCAACAUUAUUUUUGAAGAAUGACACUCAUCCUGAACACGUAAACCCAAGUGGAGCACUGGGACCCAGAGGUAUUGAGCUGCCAAAGGUCACAGAGGUUGCAUUGAAGUUGAGAGCUGAACUUGUGCUCCUAUGUCCUGAUCAAGCAGAGCUCCAAGAUGGAGUUUAAAACUAUGAGUGAAUGUGUGCAGAACAGCAGCUUUAAUCCUGGAACUUCCAAAGUGUUGAACGCUUGACUUGGAGAUCUG
rnacentral:lncRNA from 1 species